rnacentral:rRNA from 1 species
GAAGCGCGACCGCACUCUAGUGCUAGGCGCUGAGUCUAGCCUUUUCCUUAGUGUAGUGAGCUAGGGGAAUAAGCGGGGGGCAAGCCUGGUGUCAGCCGCCGCGGUAAUACCAGCUCCGCGAGUGGCCGGGACGAUUAUUGGGCCUAAAGCGUUCGUAGCCGGCCUAUCAAGUCUCUGGUUAAAUUUCAAGGCUUAACCUUGAGCGUGCUGGAGAUACUGUUAGGCUAGGGGGCGGGAGAGGUUGAGGGUACUUCGCGGGUAGGGGCGAAAUCCUAUAAUCCGCGAAGGACCACCAGUGGCGAAGGCGCUCAAACUGGAACGCGCCCGACGGUGAGGGACGAAAGCCAGGGGAGCAAGGGGGAUUAGAUACCCCCGUAGUCCUGGCUGUAAACGAUGCGGGCUAGGUGUUGGGUUGGCUUCGUGCCAACCCGGUGCCGCAGUGAAGGCGAUAAGCCCGCCGCCUGGGAAGUACGGCUGCAAGGCUGAAACUUAAAGGAAUUGGCGGGGGAGCACCACAAGGGGUGAAGCCUGCGGUUUAAUUGGAGUCAACGCUGGGAAUCUUACCGGGAGCGACAAGUAGAAUGAAGGCCAAGCUGACGACUUUGCUAGACAAGACUGAGAGGAGGUGCAUGGCCGUCGCCAGUUCGUGCCGUGAGGUGUCCGGUUAAGUCCGGCAACGAACGAGACCCCCAUCCUUUGUUGCUAAGCUUUCUCUACGGAGGGAGCCGCACACGGAGGAGACUGCCAGUGUUAAACUGGAGGAGGGAGGGGGCUACGGCAGGUCAGCAUGCCCCGAAUCUCCCGGGCCACACGCGGGCUGCAAUGGCGAGGACAGCGGGUUCCGACCCCGAAAGGGGAAGGUAAUCCCUUAAACCUCGCCGUAGUUGGGAUUGAGGGCUGUAACCCGCCCUCAUGAACAUGAAUCCCUUAAACCGCAGACCAUCGCGACU